UGAAAGCAUCUAAGCACGAAACUUGCCCCGAGAUGAGUUCUCCCUGACUCCUUGAGAGUCCUGAAGGAACGUUGAAGACGACGACGUUGAUAGGCCGGGUGUGUAAGCGCAGCGAUGCGUUGAGCUAACCGGUACUAAUGAACCGUGAGGCUUAACCUUACAACGCCGAAGCUGUU
rnacentral:rRNA from 1 species